UCCAUCCGCCUCAACUAUUAGAGGGAGUCUCGUCGGGGAGGGGCGGAGGAGAGAAUGUCGCCGUAGCCGCGAGAGCCUGUGAGUUGAUCCCUCUGCACCUUUCGCAGGCCGGGCUCUGUGAACCAGGGUGGAAAGCGCAUUGUACGGAGAAGAAUCCCCAGCAUCCUUGCGACGUCACUGUGAGCCACAUUAGUGUUUAUCUUGUAUUAGUUUCAAAUCUCUCGACAGGCAACACGCUGCUUAGGCGAGCCCAUCCACUCGUCCGGCUUGAAUUUAUUCAUCAGUGACUUCCAAACCUUUAUUUCCGACCCAGAAAUCUUUCCUGAGCUAUCGAGUCACCGCCCAACCUCCCCUUUCGAUGUUGAUUUGGAUGCGCCUAUCAGCAGCUGUCCAAAGCACCUCUGUGUGCCAGCCAUGUUGAAUACUUUGGAGUGGAACAAGGAAGACCACCGGAGCCUGUUACAAAAGCCCAAGGCAGAAGUGGAAUGAAGUGGAUGUCCCAUGGAUAUCUAAACAGCAACAUUUCCAAAACUGAACUAAGCAUCAGUAAAGCAUGGUGGCAUAGCCUAGUGGUUAAGGACCGAAUGAACUAAUGGUUUAUAUUCAGAUCCUGUCUCUUCCUAGCUGUGUUGUUGGGCAAGUCCCUUAACAUCUUUGUGCCUCUAUUUCCUCAUCUAUAAAUGUGGAUAAUAGCCCAACCCCAUAGGGUUGUAAUGAUGAAUAAUGAGAUCUGACAUAGUGCCUCUUUCUCUAAAACAGCCCCUCUCUGUGUUCUCUAUCUCAAGAAUACCACUACCAGGGUGGCGCCUGUGGCUCAAAGGAGUAGGGCACUGGCCCCAUAUACCGGAGGUGACAGGUUCAAACCUGGCCCUGGCCAAACACUGGGGAAAAAAAGGCUCGGUGCCAGCCACAUACACCUGAGCUGGCGGGUUCGAAUCCAGCCCGGGCCCUCCAAACGACGACAACAUAACCAAAAAAUAGCCAGGCAUUGUGGCGGAGCCUGUAAUCCCAGCUACUUGAGAGGUGGAGGCAGGAGACUUGCUUGAACCCAGGAGUUGGAGGUUGCUAUGAGCUGUGAUGCCAGAGCACUCUACCCAGGGCAACAGCCUGAGGUUCUGUCUCAAAAAAAAAAAAAGAA